CAGUCGCCACGGGAAUACAGAGGGUGCGAGCGUUAAUCGGAUUUACUGGGCGUAAAGCGUGCGUAGGCGGCUUCUUAAGUCGGAUGUGAAAUCCCUGAGCUUAACUUAGGAAUUGCAUUCGAUACUGGGAAGCUAGAGUAUGGGAGAGGAUGGUAGAAUUCCAGGUGUAGCGGUGAAAUGCGUAGAGAUCUGGAGGAAUACCGAUGGCGAAGGCAGCCAUCUGGCCUAAUACUGACGCUGAGGUACGAAAGCAUGGGGAGCAAACAGGAUUAGAUACCCCGGUAGUCCCUGUCUCUUAUAU
rnacentral:rRNA from 1 species